rnacentral:rRNA from 1 species
UACGAAGGGGGCUAGCGUUGCUCGGAAUCACUGGGCGUAAAGCGCACGUAGGCGGACUGUUAAGUCGGGGGUGAAAUCCUGGGGCUCAACCUCAGAAUUGCCUCCGAUACUGGCAGUCUCGAGUGCGGGAGAGGUGAGUGGAAUUCCCAGUGUAGAGGUGAAAGUUCGUAGAUAUUGGGAAGAACACCAGUGGCGAAGGCG